AGUGAACGCUGGCGGUAGGCCUAACACAUGCAAGUCGAACGGCAGCACAGUAAGAGCUUGCUCUUACGGGUGGCGAGUGGCGGACGGGUGAGGAAUACAUCGGAAUCUACUUUUUCGUGGGGGAUAACGUAGGGAAACUUACGCUAAUACCGCAUACGACCUACGGGUGAAAGCAGGGGAUCUUCUGACCUUGCGCGAUUGAAUGAGCCGAUGUCGGAUUAGCUAGUUGGCGGGGUAAAGGCCCACCAAGGCGACGAUCCGUAGCUGGUCUGAGAGCAUGAUCAGCCACACUGGAACUGAGACACGGUCCAGACUCCUACGGGAGGCAGCAGUGGGGAAUAUUGGACAAUGGGCGCAAGCCUGAUCCAGCCAUACCGCGUGGGUGAAGAAGGCCUUCGGGUUGUAAAGCCCUUUUGUUGGGAAAGAAAAGCAGCAGGUUAAUACCCCGCUGUUCUGACGGUACCCAAAGAAUAAGCACCGGCUAACUUCGUG
rnacentral:rRNA from 1 species